UUCAUCCCUCAUUCAACUUCCUUCUCCUUUUCUUUAGUUCAAAAAUAAGUCACAUAUGAUUAGGAAAGCAAAAAGUUCACAAAUACAACAAAUCUGUCCAAAACAGGAUUUCGUGUAUACUUUUCCGUUCUUUUGUUUUAUGCUUUCGUCUAUUUCUAUUGCCUACCUUCAUCGCAUUCCUUUUCAGCCGCUCCUUCCUCACGCUCAC
rnacentral:lncRNA from 1 species